AGGACGAACGCUGGCGGCGUGCCUAACACAUGCAAGUCGAACGGAGUUAUCGAGAAUUCGGUUGAGAUAACUAGUGGCGGACGGGUGAGUAACGCGUGAGUAACCUGCCUAAGAGAGGGGGGAUAACGUUCUGAAAAAGAACGCUAAUACCGCAUAAAAAUAUCGAAGCCGCAUGACUUUGAUAUCAAAGGAGCAAUCCGCUUUUAGAUGGACUCGCGUCCGAUUAGCUAGUUGGCGGGUAACAGCCCACCAAGGCGACGAUCGGUAGCCGGACUGAGAGGUUGAACGGCCACAUUGGGACUGAGACACGGCCCACGACCCCUACGGGAGGCAGCAGGUGGGGGAUAUUGCGCAAGUACGGGGGAAACCCUGACGCAGCAACGCCGCGUGAAGGACGAAGGUCUUCGGAUUGUAAACUUCUUUUGUUAAGGACGAAGAAAGUGACGGUACUUAACGAAUAAGCUCCGGCUAACUACGUGCCAGCCGCCGC
rnacentral:rRNA from 1 species